CACUGUUGUAUUUACAGAAGUUGUAUGAGAAUAAGCUACAGGUUGAUUUAUACUAAUCUGUUAUUUUUCUUUUUUAGCACGACUGACUGAAGUUUUAAAAUCAUGCAACGUCAUGAAGCAGCAGCUGGUCCUGAUUCUCACAAAACCAAAACAGACGUGAUGAAAUUCCAGAUGUAAACACAUUUGACCGUCCUUUGGCCAAUUUGAUUUGGAAAAGCUUGAAAAUCAACUAAAGGAGCAGCCCGAACAAAUGAAGAAACUGAUGGAGUGAGGACAAAUGUCCAUACCACGCCACUGAUAAAGAAGUGGAAAAAUGCAUUACAAGGUAGCUACAACUUGCCCCUGACAGUGAUGGAGGAAGAAAGAAGAGAAAGCUAAUGUGUCAAAUGUCUACAUCACUAUUUUGUUUUAUUUUUUAAACAACAUUUUAAGUGUAUUAGGAUGUUCCCUGAUACUUGAACAAUUGGUUUCUUUCAUUUGCAUUUAUAUAUAUAUAUGUAUAUGUAUAUAUAUAUAUAUAUAUAUGUGUGUGUGUGUGUGUAUAUAUGUAUGGUAUGUAUGUGUGUGCGCCAAAUUCUAAAGAAACAUCUUGAUACAUUUUUAAUAAACGUAAUACAAAUAAAAUUAUAAAUAAAAAAUUGCACAAGACAUGUAUAUAUAUGAAAUGCAUAAUCAUCUCACUCAUGUCUUGCUGUUUGUGCAAUUGAUUUUGUUC
rnacentral:lncRNA from 1 species